rnacentral:rRNA from 1 species
AGAGUUUGAUCAUGGCUCAGAACGAACGCUGGCGGCGUGCUUAACACAUGCAAGUCGCGUGCGCAGUUUCCGUAGCAAUACGGGGAUGGGCGCACGGCGCACGGGUGCGUAACACGUGGGCAAUCUGCCCUCCGAUGGGGAAUACCCCCGCGAAAGCGGGACUAAUUCCGCAUAACAUUCCUUGGAUUAACUUUCGAGGAUUCAAAGCAGCAAUGCGUCGGAGGAGGAGCCCGCGCCCGAUUAGCUAGUUGGUGAGGUAACGGCUCACCAAGGCAAUGAUCGGUAGCUGGUCUGAGAGGAUGGCCAGCCACACUGGAACUGAGACACGGUCCAGACUCCUACGGGAGGCAGCAGUGGGGAAUCUUGCACAAUGGGCGAAAGCCUGAUGCAGCGACGCCGCGUGGGGGAUGAAGCUUUUCGGAGUGUAAACCCCUUUCGACUGGGACGAAUGCCUCGCAAGAGGAGUGACGGUACCAGUAUAAGAAGCCCCGGCUAACUACGUGCCAGCAGCCGCGGUAAGACGUAGGGGGCCAGCGUUGUUCGGAAUUACUGGGUGUAAAGGGUUCGUAGGCGGUGUGGCAAGUCGGGAGUGAAAUCUCUGGGCUCAACCCAGAGACUGCUUCCGAAACUGCUGUGCUUGAGUGUGAGAGAGGCUCGUGGAAUUGCAGGUGUAGCGGUGAAAUGCGUAGAUAUCUGCAGGAACACCCGUGGCGAAAGCGGCGAGCUGGAUCACUACUGACGCUGAGGAACGAAAGCUAGGGGAGCAAACAGGAUUAGAUACCCCGGUAGUCC